GCAUUGCUGAGGAGUCCCAAAAUAGGACGAAAAGGCCAUCCAGUGC
rnacentral:hammerhead_ribozyme from 1 species